UAGCCUAGUGGUUAAGGCUAUGGAUCGCCAAUCCGAAGAUUACGGGUUCGAUUCCCGU
rnacentral:tRNA from 1 species